UACGUAGGGGGCAAGCGUUGUCCGGAAUCAUUGGGCGUAAAGCGCGUGUAGGCGGCCAGAUAAGUCCGCUGUGAAAACUCGAGGCUCAACUUCGAGCUGUCGGUGGAAACUUUCUGGCUAGAGUCCGGAAGAGGAGAAUGGAAUUCCUGGUGUAGCGGUGAAAUGCGCAGAUAUCGGGAGGAACACCAAUGGCGAAGGCAGCUCGCUGGGAUGUGACUGACGCUCAUGUACGAAAGCGUGGGGAGCAAACAGG
rnacentral:rRNA from 1 species